CACCAACAGCACAACCCUGACGCUGGUGACCCCGGCGCUGGAUGGGAAAGAAAUCCAGUAUCUCCUCCUGUUCUUUGGCUUCUUGUGUGUCUUGCUCGUCGUAUUCAUCGUCUGCUUCCUGAAGAAUCGGAGGAUGAAGAAUCAGUUCUGGCCCAGCGUCCCGGACCCAGCUAACAGCAGCCUGGGCAAGUGGGUGCCAGCCGACCUACAGCAGGAGACUCUCCAGACAGCCAGUGCGAGGGAGCCUGGCCUGGUGACCAUUUCUGACAUCACAGUGCUGGAAAAAGGAGCCGAGAAGAAAGCAC
rnacentral:lncRNA from 1 species